GCCCCCCACCUUUCCUCCAGGGCCUCCCGACAUCUUUCUUUCACCUGAGAGCUUAGCCACUCAGCCACUCCAUCGGUGCCCCUUUCGACUCCGAGCGUCCUCCGCAUCGGUCCUUGCCAUCUCCGCCGGCUUUCCACCAUUUCCAGUCCUCCGAGUCUCUCCAAGGGGUUCCCCCGUCGGGGCCUCUGCCCCGGAGGCCAAUCUCAAG
rnacentral:lncRNA from 1 species